UACGUAGGAGGCGAGCGUUGUCCGGAAUUACUGGGUGUAAAGCGCGUGUAGGCGGCCUGCCAAGUCUGCUGUGAAAGCGCCUGGCUUAACCGGGCGAGGUCGGUGGAAACUGGCGGGCUGGAGGCCGGUAGAGGGGGGUGGAAUUCCCGGUGUAGUGGUGAAAUGCGUAGAGAUCGGGAGGAACACCAGUGGCGAAGGCGGCCCUCUGGGCCGGGCCUGACGCUGAGACGCGAAAGCGCGGGGAGCGAACGGG
rnacentral:rRNA from 1 species